rnacentral:rRNA from 1 species
GCGACCCCAGGUCAGGCGGGACUACCCGCUGAGUUUAAGCAUAUAAAUAAGCGGAGGAGAAGAAACUAACAAGGAUUCC